rnacentral:rRNA from 1 species
UUCGGUUGAUCCUGCCGGAGGUUACUGCUAUUGGAAUCCGAUUAAGCCAUGCGAGUCGAUCGGGUCAGACCCGAGGCGCACUGCUCAGUAACACGUGGAGAAUCUGCCCUUAGGUGAGGAAUAACCUCGGGAAACUGAGAAUAAUACCUCAUAGGUUAUGGAUGCUGGAAUGCUUCAUAGCCCAAAGCCCCGGCGCCUAAGGAUGACUCUGCGGACUAUCAGGUAGUAGUCAGGGUAACGACCUGACUAGCCUACGACGGAUACGGGGCGUGAGAGCACUAGCCCGGAGAUGGAUUCUGAGACACGAAUCCAGGCCCUACGGGGUGCAGCAGGCGCGAAACUUCCGCAAUGCUCGACAGAGUGACGGAGGGAUUCCAAGUGCCUAUGCUAUGCGUAGGCUGUUUUUAUGUCUAAAUAACAUGGAGAGUAAGAGCUGGGUAAGACGGGUGCCAGCCGCCGCGGUAAUACCUGCAGCUCGAGUGGUAACCGCUAUUAUUGGGCCUAAAGCGUCCGUAGCCGGUUUGGUAAAUAUCUGGGUAAAUCGUGAGGCUUAACUUCACGAAUUUCGGAUAGACUGCCAGACUUGGGAUCGGGGGAGGUCAGAGGUACUCCAGGGGGAGCGGUGAAAUGUUGUAAUCCUUGGAGGACCACCGGUAGCGAAGGCGUCUGACUAGAACGAGUCCGACGGGUGAGGGACGAAGCCCUGGGGCGCAAACCGGAUUAGAUACCCGGGUAGUCCAGGGUGUAAACGAUGUGGGCUUUUGUAUUGGGGGGUCCCACGUGGGCGGUCCAGUGCAGUAGAGAAGUUGUUAAGCCCACCGCCUGGGAAGUACGGUCGCAAGGCUGAAACUUAAAGGAAUUGGCGGGGGAGCAC